rnacentral:rRNA from 1 species
GACGAACGUUGGCGGCGUGCUUAAUACAUGCAAGUCAACUGAAGCAGUGGUAGCAAUAUCGCUGUGGAGGUGGCGCACGGGUGAGUAACACGUAGGUAAUCUGCCUUCAGGUCUGGCAUAACUCCGGGAAACCGGGGCUAAUAGCAGAUGAUGCAGCGGCUCGACAUCGAGACAGUUGUUAAAGCUAUGGCGCCUGAAGAUGAGCCUGCGUCUGAUUAGCUAGUUGGCGGGGUAACGGCGCACCAAGGCAACGAUCAGUAGCUGGUCUGAGAGGAUGAUCAGGCACACUGGAACUGAGACACGGUCCAGACUACUACGGGAGGCAGCAGUAAGGAAUAUUGCUCAAUGGGAGAAAUCCUGAAGCAGCAACGCCGCGUGAGGGACGAAGGGCUUUUGCUUGUAAACCUCUGUAGUGAGAGAAAAAAAUCCCAAUCUUUGGGACAUGAUGGUAUCUCAAAAGUAAGCCCCGGCUAACUACGUG